UACGGAAGGCAGCAGUGGGGAAUAUUGCACAAUGGGCGAAAGCCUGAUGCAGCUAUGCCGCGUGUAUGAAGAAGGCCUUAGGGUUGUAAAGUACUUUUCAUCGGGGAGGAAAAAACAAAACUAAUAAUUUUAUUUCUUGACGUUACCCGAAAAAGAAGCACCGGCUAACUCCGUGCCAGCAGCCGCGGUAAUACGGAGGGUGCUAGCGUUAAUCAGAAUUACUGGGCGUAAAGAGCACGUAGGUGGUUUUUUUAAAGUCAGAUGUGAAAUCCCUGGGCUUAACCUAGGAACUUGCAUUUUGAAACUGAAAUACUAGAGUAUCGUAGAGGGAGGUAGAAUUCUAGGUGUAGCGGUGAAAUGCGUAGAUAUCUGGAGGAAUACCUGUGGCGAAAGCGGCCUCCUAAACGAAUACUGACACUGAGGUGCGAAAGCGUGGGGAGCAAACAGGGAUUAGAUACC
rnacentral:rRNA from 1 species